rnacentral:lncRNA from 1 species
GAGGGAGAGACAUAGGUGUCAGUUUGUUAGUGGGAGGAUACUAAUAAAACCAAAAAUUUAAAAAAAAAAAAAAACAUAAAACAAGCCACUUCCAAAUUCAUUUUCAGAAGCAUGAAAACUCUCUCAAAAGCUAACUUCCUUCUUCUUCGCUUCCUUCCAUUUUACUGUCACCAAUUUCCUCCACUGAUCCAAUCUGUUCCAACAACAGAAAACAACUAGGAGCUCCAGUGUUUCAAGCUUCAACACCAUCAAUUCAUCAUCUUGUUCUUUGACCGGUAAGUUCAUCUUCUUCCUCUAUGCUUCUUAAAUUGGGGACUCAUGCAUCAAUUUCAGAUUGCAUGUUUUCU